UACGUAGGGUGCGAGCGUUAAUCGGAAUUACUGGGCGUAAAGCGUGCGCAGGCGGUUGUGUAAGCCAGAUGUGAAAUCCCCGGGCUUAACCUGGGAAUGGCAUUCGAUACUGCCGGGCUAGAGGUAGGUAGGGGAGAUCGGAAUUCCUGGUGUAGCGGUAAAAUGCGCAGAUAUCAGGAGGAACACCGAUGGCGAAGGCAGGUCUCUGGGCAUUAACUGACGCUGAGGAGCGAAAGCAUGGGGAGCGAACAGG
rnacentral:rRNA from 1 species